AUUGAACGCUGGCGGCAUGCCUUACACAUGCAAGUCGAACGGCAGCACGGGAGCAAUCCUGGUGGCGAGUGGCGAACGGGUGAGUAAUAUAUCGGAACGUGCCCAGUCGUGGGGGAUAACGUAGCGAAAGCUACGCUAAUACCGCAUACGAUCUAUGGAUGAAAGCGGGGGAUCGCAAGACCUCGCGCGAUUGGAGCGGCCGAUAUCAGAUUAGGUAGUUGGUGAGGUAAAGGGCUCACCAAGCCGACGAUCUGUAGCUGGUCUGAGAGGACGACCAGCCACACUGGGACUGAGACACGGCCCAGACUCCUACGGGAGGCAGCAGUGGGGGAAUUUUUGGGACAAUGGGCGCAAGCCUGAUCCAGCAAUGCCGCGUGCAGGAUGAAGGCCU
rnacentral:rRNA from 1 species